rnacentral:lncRNA from 1 species
GUUGAUAGGAUUUUAUGCAAAAAAGCCCAAUACUUAGCAUUUUGGCUAGCAAUUUUAUUUGAAUGUGAAGUAGCCAGAGCCCAAUUUGUGUAUAUGAAUUCAGUUUUUAAGUAUAAAAACAAUAGCUAUUUGGUUGGGCUAAGAAUAUUAAGAAAUGAUGAGGAAGCCCAAACCCAACAUUCUUUCAUUAAGCAGAUUAGUCAACCUUAUUAGCGUAAGUUAAAUUAUUCAGAUUAUUAAUUCAGAUUAGUUAUUCUUCAUACACGUAGCAUUUAGCUUCCACGCAGCUGCUCACACAAACCGACUCAAGUCAGUAUAAGCUUCAUCCCUCAAGCGUUGAACCAUUUUCUUCAUUCUGCAAAAUCUUAACUACUACUCCAGUAAACAUCCAUCCAACACACAAAUUACACACAAUCAUCCACAGCAGACAUCAAAGAAGGUAGUCUUUCUUUCAAUACAGUUAACUUUAUAUCAUAAAGGCAGCAACCAAGAACUGUGAUGAGUAAUAACUAUAAUCACAUAUGCAAUUCUGACUUCAUAAACACAGUUCCAAUUUCUUAAUAACAAUAAAGAAACAAACUUAUAACAUAUAAAAAUCGGAUCUUGAGCAGUAGCCACUCCGACAGACACCCUGAAUCAUGGAUUCCUGAAAUAGAAAAAUUAGGGAUUGAUUAGUUUGAGGUAUUAGAACUGAAAUAGGUUAUUGAAAUAGAAAAUAAAGAAAAAGAGAAAAGAAGAAGGAAAUAAUUAGAACAGGGGAAGGGAUGGCAGCAGCAGCAGCAACCGCGAGCCACCGCAGCGGAGGCGCGACUGGCGGCAGCGACCGCCGGCACUGCCCACGCCACGGCGGUCCGCGGUGGCCGCCAGUAGCACAGAGAGUUUGAGCGAGGGAGAGUAAGACAAAGACAGAGAAACACGGACAUGAGAGAAAGUAGAGCGAGAUAGAGGCAGGGAGAGAAGAGCAGAGCGGCGGCGACCACCGGCGCUGCUUGCGCCGCUGCGGCUCGCAGCGGCCGCUGCAAGCAAAGGGGCAGAGAGAGAGAGAUCGAGAUUAAGAGCGCAGAGAAGGCAGAAAGAGAGAGAGAUCGAGAGACAUAGAGAAAAAGAGGGAGAAAGAGAAGCUUACCUGAGAUGGAGUAGGUGGCAGUGCGACGGGGACAACGGUGGCGGUGAAACUCGCCGGAUGACUGGAGUUGAAGGGGGGAAAAUUAGAAACCCUAGGUUGAUUUUGAAUUAAGAAUUGGGGGAAAAGGAAGGAAAGGAAGAAGAAGGGGAGAGAGGCGCCGGCCUCGCCGCGCCGGAGGCGGCGAGGACUGGCGACGUCGCCGGGCGAGAGGGAGAGGGAGAGGGAGAGGGAAAGUGAGAGACGCAGGUGAGAGAACAGAGAGAAAUGGAGCCUGCGUAGAAAGAAAAAGAAGGAAGAAGAGAGAUGUUGACUUUAGUAUACUAGACUUAAG